AUUGAACGCUGGCGGCAGGCCUAACACAUGCAAGUCGAGCGGGGCGGCGGACGGGCGGGUGAUGCCUAGGUGGCUGCCUGGUAGUGGGGGAUGACGUACUGCAAGAGGCGCUAGUACCUACUGCAAGCAAUUAAGUGUAGGUCGGAUUAGCUAGUUGGUGGGGUAAAGGCCUACCCAGGCGACGAUCGGUAACUGGUCUGAGAGGAUGAUCAGUCACACUGGAACUGAGACACGGUCCAGACUCCUACGGGAGGCAGCAGUGGGGAAUAUUGGACAAUGGGCGAAAGCCUGAUCCAGCCAUGCCGCGUGUGUGAAGAAGGUCUUCGGAUUGUAAAGCACUUUAAGUUGGGAGGCGUUACCAACAGAAGAAGCACCGGCUAACUCCGUGCCAGCAGCCGCGGUAAUAC
rnacentral:rRNA from 1 species